rnacentral:rRNA from 1 species
UGCGCAGGCGGUUUUUUAAGACAGGCGUGAAAGCCCCGGGCUCAACCUGGGAAUUGCAUUUAAAACUGUCCAGCUAGAGUCUUGUAGAGGGGGGUAGAAUUCCAGGUGUAGCGGUGAAAUGCGUAGAGAUCUGGAGGAAUACCGGUGGCGAAGGCGGCCCCCUGGACAAAGACUGACGCUCAGGUGCGAAAGCGUGGGGAGCAAACAGGAUUAGAUACCCUUGUA